GGCAUUUAGCUCAGUUGGUUAGAGCGCUACAUUGACAUUGUAGAGGUCACUGGUUCGAAUCCAGUAUUGCCC
rnacentral:tRNA from 1 species